rnacentral:rRNA from 1 species
AGUUGGAAACGACUGCUAAUACCGCAUAAGCCCACGGCUCGGCAUCGAGCAGAGGGAAAAGGAGCAAUCCGCUUUGAGAUGGCCUCGCGUCCGAUUAGCUAGUUGGUGAGGUAACGGCCCACCAAGGCGACGAUCGGUAGCCGGACUGAGAGGUUGAACGGCCACAUUGGGACUGAGACACGGCCCAGACUCCUACGGGAGGCAGCAGUGGGGAAUAUUGCACAAUGGGGGAAACCCUGAUGCAGCGACGCCGCGUGGAGGAAGAAGGUCUUCGGAUUGUAAACUCCUGUUGUUGAGGAAGAUAAUGACGGUACUCAACAAGGAAGUGACGGCUAACUACGUGCCAGCAGCCGCGGUAAAACGUAGGUCACAAGCGUUGUCCGGAAUUACUGGGUGUAAAGGGAGCGCAGGCGGGCGAUCAAGUUGGAAGUGAAAUCCAUGGGCUCAACCCAUGAACUGCUUUCAAAACUGAUUGUCUUGAGUAGUGCAGAGGUAGGCGGA